GGGGAUAACAGUUAGAAAUGACUGCUAAUACCGCAUAAGCGCACAGAAUCGCAUGAUUCGGUGUGAAAAACUCCGGUGGUAUGAGAUGGACCCGCGUCUGAUUAGCUAGUUGGUGGGGUAAAGGCCUACCAAGGCGACGAUCAGUAGCCGACCUGAGAGGGUGAUCGGCCACAUUGGGACUGAGACACGGCCCAAACUCCUACGGGAGGCAGCAGUGGGGAAUAUUGCACAAUGGGGGAAACCCUGAUGCAGCAACGCCGCGUGAGUGAAGAAGUAUUUCGGUAUGUAAAGCUCUAUCAGCAGGGAAGAAGAUGACGGUACCUGAUUAAGAAGCCCCGGCUAACUACGUGCCAGCAGCCGCGGUAAUACGUAGGGGGCAAGCGUUAUCCGGAUUUACUGGGUGUAAAGGGAGCGUAGACGGCAUAGCAAGUCUGAAGUGAAAGCCCAAGGCUCAACCAUGGGACUGCUUUGGAAACUGUUAAGCUAGAGUGCUGGAGAGGUAAGCGGAAUUCCUAGUGUAGCGGUGAAAUGCGUAGAUAUUAGGAAGAACACCAGUGGCGAAGGCGGCUUACUGGACAGUAACUGACGUUGAGGCUCGAAAGCGUGGGGAGCAAACAGGAUUAGAUACCCUGGUAGUCCACGCCGUAAACGAUGAA
rnacentral:rRNA from 1 species